AGCUUUGCGCAGUGGCAGUAUCGUAGCCAAUGAGGUUUAUCCGAGGUGCGAUUAUUGCUAACGGAACCUUGGAGUGAGUCCAGGGAUAUAUAGUUUGAAAAGUUUCCCCACGGUUUUCUGAGAUAGACCCAGAGGUC
rnacentral:snRNA from 2 species